rnacentral:rRNA from 1 species
AUUGAACGCUGGCGGCAUGCUUUACACAUGCAAGUCGAACGGUAACAGGCCGCAAGGUGCUGACGAGUGGCGCACGGGUGAGUAAUGCAUCGGAACGUGCACAGUCGUGGGGGAUAACUACUCGAAAGAGUAGCUAAUACCGCAUACGAUCUAUGGAUGAAAGCGGGGGACCGUAAGGCCUCGCGCGAUUGGAGCGGCCGAUGUCAGAUUAGGUAGUUGGUGGGGUAAAGGCUCACCAAGCCAACGAUCUGUAGCUGGUCUGAGAGGACGACCAGCCACACUGGGACUGAGACACGGCCCAGACUCCUACGGGAGGCAGCAGGGGGGAAAUUUGGACAAUGGGCGCAAGCCUGAUCCAGCAAUGCCGCGUGCAGGAAGAAGGCCUUCGGGUUGUAAACUGCUUUUGUACGGAACGAAACGGCUCUGGUUAAUACCCGGGGCUAAUGACGGUACCGUAAGAAUAAGCACCGGCUAACUACGUG